rnacentral:lncRNA from 1 species
UCUCUCUCUCUCUACCAUCAUAUUUUCUUUAUUUCUUUCUCUUUUAGAAUUAUGGAUAUCGCAAACAUUGAGGAGAUGCAAAUUAGCGUAUGUUGUCAUCUACAAUAAAGGAAGAAGAUAUGCAAAGGGUGCAUUUUUAGGUGAGAUGAUAAAGAAAUCUAUCUCUGAAGAGGUACGAAUUUGAGAUGUGAUUAAAGGUAAAAAAGAACAUGUUGGAAUAUCUUAGAGAAAACCGUUUCCAGAAGUCUGAAGAACAAGUGCAAAGACCCUGCUGACAGAUCACGCCUUAUGUGUUUAAGGAGCAGCAAGAUGUCUACUAGGUCUGGAGAAAAAUAAACCAGUGGGAGAAUUUAAGAGAUGAGAAAACAAAUUAUGAAGGGCACAGUGGGUAACAGGAAGAAUUUUAGCUUUUAUUCCUGGUAGGCUGGAAGGCCAAGGAGGCAUUUAGAAAGAGAGAGAGAAGAUUGUCUGAUUGGUAUUUUUAAAAAUGCAAUCUAGUUGCUUUAAGAAAACGAAUUAUAAUAAACCAGGAGUGGAAGACAUUAUUGCUCAAGCCUGCAUGAGAGAUCUUCUGUUUUGGAGUAGGGGGGUAGUAUGUGAUAUAUGAAGAAAGGAUCAGAUAUAGAAUUUUUUUUAAUUAAAAAAAUUGUUGGAGGGACUUAAUUUAACUUAGGAAUAAUUGUUUUCUGUAGUCCAACAGAGGGUAAUUUAAAUUCAUAGAGAAUAGAAGAUACACAUCUGACCAGAAGUGCUGUAAGCCUAGGGUUAUUCAUCACUUAGACUCUAUGGACACUAAGACACCUUGCCAAGAGCUCCAAGUAUAUUAAUAAAAAUAUGGCAUCAAGAUUUUGUCUCAUAAAUUUCUAAACAUUGGAGAUCUACUAUCAGGCCCAAGAGUAUUAAUAAAGGCAAUCACACUUCAAGGUUAAUAAGUAGCCAAUGCUUGCUGAAGAAAUUUACAUAAGGUUUGUGAAGAAAUGCUUGCUGAAGAAAUUUACGUAAGGUUUGUGAAGAAAUGCAAAGCGUUAAGAGCCAUAAAUUGGAUGGAUAUGGAUCCUAGACAGAGAGGAUACCCUUUUACACUAAAUCUGGCAAUCAAGAUGGGGAGAGUUCAAGUAAUUAAGGAUUGUGAUCGGUCUACCCACAUGUUAGGCAUUUCAAGCCUGUUUGCACCAUUUUCCCUGAAACUUAAAAGAUGGGAUCUUCCUCUGUCACCCAGGCCGG